UUAAAUGCAAUGAACAGAAUUAGUACAGACAAGUUGGAACUGUCAGAGAGAAGCUGCCAUCGGCUGGAAGCGGCUUUGAGGGAAGAUGUCUGGAAUGCAUCUGGGAGCAGACAAGAUGAAUAAAGUAGUUUUGUACGUUGCCGGCGUUAACGGAUUCGAGUGAAAGUAUCCUGAUCAAGUGAUAUUAGUCAGAUAUAUAAUAAGAAGAUCAGGAACUUUUAAAAGAGUGGAACCGCGGAUAUACUCCGUCUCUUUA
rnacentral:ncRNA from 1 species